ACGUGAGUAACCUGCCCCUCACUUCGGGAUAACCUCGGGAAAUCGUGGCUAAUACCGGAUACGAACACUCAUCGCAUGGUGGGUGUUGGAAAGAUUUAUCGGUGGGGGAUGGACUCGCGGCCUAUCAGUUUGUUGGUGAGGUAAUGGCUCACCAAGGCGAUGACGGGUAGCCGGCCUGAGAGGGCGACCGGCCACACUGGGACUGAGACACGGCCCAGACUCCUACGGGAGGCAGCAGUGGGGAAUAUUGCACAAUGGGCGAAAGCCUGAUGCAGCGACGCCGCGUGAGGGAUGACGGCCUUCGGGUUGUAAACCUCUUUCAGUAGGGAAGAAGCGAGAGUGACGGUACCUGCAGAAGAAGCGCCGGCUAACUACGUGCCAGCAGCCGCGGUAAUACGUAGGGCGCAAGCGUUGUCCGGAAUUAUUGGGCGUAAAGAGCUUGUAGGUGGCUUGUCGCGUCUGCCGUGAAAACCCGAGGCUCAACCUCGGGCGUGCGGUGGGUACGGGCAGGCUAGAGUGUGGUAGGGGAGACUGGAACUCCUGGUGUAGCGGUGAAAUGC
rnacentral:rRNA from 1 species